AAUUGCAGGUUAUAAAGUCAGAAUUGCAUGAUAUAAAGUCGCAAUUGCAUGUUAUAAAGUCAGAAUUGCGAGAUAUAAAGUCAGAAUUGAUUGAUAUAAAGUCGCAAAUGCAGAUAUAAAGUCAGAAUUGCGUGUUGUAAAGUCAGAAUUGUGAGAUAUAAACUAUUCUGAGGGGGGAAAAGUUAGUCUUUUUUGCCCCUUAGAAUUGGCCUGAUAACUCGCAAUUGCGAGUUUAUAUCUCACAAUUCUGAGAAAAGAUGUCAGAAUUUCGAGAUAUAAACUCGCAAUUAUGUGUUAUAAAGUCAGAAUUGUGAGAUGUAAACUCGCAAUUGUGAGAAAAAAAGUCAGAAUUGUGAGAUAAAAAGUCGCAA